rnacentral:tRNA from 1 species
AUAUUAUUAGAUUAUACUAUAUUAUUAGAUUAUAAUUUAUUCUAAAUAUUAUAUUCUAAUUCUAAUUAAUAUU